AAGCGGAGGAAAAGAAACUAACAAGGAUUCCCCUAGUAACGGCGAGUGAAGUGGGAAAAGCUCAACUUUGAAAUCUGGCAGCUUUGCUGUCCGAGUUGUAGUCUCGAGAAGCGUCUUCCGCGCUGAUGCAUGCAUGAGUCUGUUGGAAUACAGCGCCAUAGAGGGUGAGAGCCCCGUUCUUGGCAUGCCUUUCAGUGCUUUGUGAUGCGCUUUCGAUGAGUCGAGUUGUUUGGGAAUGCAGCUCAAAUUGGGUGGUAAAUUCCAUCUAAAGCUAAAUAUUGGCGGGAGACCGAUUGCAAACAAGUACCGUGAGGGAAAGAUGAAAAGCACUUUGGAAAGAGAGUUAAAAGUACGUGAAAUUGUCGAAAGGGAAACGCUUGAAGUCGGACGUGCAGGGCAACUUGCAGGCCAACAUCAGUUUCGCCAGCCGGAUAAAAGGUAGGGGGAAGGUGGCAGUCUCGGCUGUGUUAUAGCCCCCUACUGAAUAUCGGAUGGCGGGACUGAGGACCGCAGCGC
rnacentral:rRNA from 1 species